rnacentral:tRNA from 1 species
GGCGAAUUAGCUCAGUGGUUAGAGCAGCGGAAUCAUAAUCCGAAGGUCCUAGGUUCAAAUCCCAGAUUCGCCACCA